GAUGAACGCUGGCGGCGUGCCUAAUACAUGCAAGUCGAGCGAACAGAUGAGAAGCUUGCUUCUCUGAUGUUAGCGGCGGACGGGUGAGUAACACGUGGGUAACCUACCUAUAAGACUGGGAUAACUCCGGGAAACCGGGGCUAAUACCGGAUAAUAUAUUGAACCGCAUGGUUCAAUGUUGAAAGACGGUUUCGGCUGUCACUUAUAGAUGGACCCGCGCCGUAUUAGCUAGUUGGUAAGGUAACGGCUUACCAAGGCAACGAUACGUAGCCGACCUGAGAGGGUGAUCGGCCACACUGGAACUGAGACACGGUCCAGACUCCUACGGGAGGCAGCAAUAGGGAAUCUUCCGCAAUGGGCGAAAGCCUGACGGAGCAACGCCGCGUGAGUGAUGAAGGUCUUAGGAUCGUAAAACUCUGUUGUUAGGGAAGAACAAAUUUGUUAGUAACUGAACAAGUCUUGACGGUACCUAACCAGAAAGCCACGGCUAACUACGUGCCAGCCGCCGCGGUAA
rnacentral:rRNA from 1 species